CAGAGUAUCUGUUAACCUGGGGGACUUGGGCAACGAGGAGAGUUCUUGCCUGCAAUGUGAUUAUGAUGGCAGCUUCGACCGUGUUAUCCGCUUGAUCUCUGGAAGGGAUGCAGAACAGAGGUUAGCAGGAAACCUUGCCUAAGUCACCAGACCUCAGUAAAAACCCUGGACAUCUGGGCUCAGAGAUUCAUUGAAAGUGCCCAGCUGCUGACAGUGGCAGGAGAGCCUGAAUACUUCAGAUUUGCCUGGGGUUGUACACCCACACAGCCUUCGGGACUACUGCCGACACUCUAGUCAGGGAGAUCUUUCUGGUGGUGUCCUCAUGUUGGGGAAAAAGCAGACCAAAAAGUUGGUACAGGGGAGGGUGGAUGUUCAACUCACUGCUAGAUACCACUGACAGCCUUAAGUUGGGGAACUGGACCUGCUUCCAGAGACACCAGGCAGCAGGGGAAUUAGAGCAUCACCAGGGCUUCCACAGGGCAGGUGGUAGAAGAAAGCCAGAUGAGAAGAAUAAUAUGGUGAAGAUUUGUGAAAACAACUGUCAUAGGCAAAGUCAUCACAAAGAGGUGCCUCAUUUGAGGGCAAUUCAUCAGACUUAAGGAUCAGGACAGACAAAGGUGCUAUGGCAGCUUGAUGACCUGGAGCAGUGCUCGCAGGAUGGAUGGGCUCCCCUUCUUCAGCUCCCCACUCUUUCUUCCCUAGAGUUGCUUCUGCUUGUUCCAUUUGAGUUCACUACCUGCCCAUUUCUGAAAAAGGAACGUAAAACAAUAUAAAGAUGGAGAAGAAUGUGAAAGAUCAACUGGCAGGCUCCUUUUUAUUUGACCCUGUACUUUUAACCUAUAACCCAAUUUAUGAUGAUUACUAAAGAAAAUAAAGAUGUCCAGGAC